CACCAUCGUCUACUAAGUGCUGCCGUCGUUGCCGCCGCCGCCAGAGUAUCCAGAUUUGUAUGGGAAGCGGAGGGAGCUUGCUAAGGUUCAGAUAUUGGAGAGAGAGAGAUUACUUUUCUUGAGAUAACACAACAGCACAUCAUGACUUUUAAUUCCUGGUUUUAAAUUUUUAUCUUUAGGACAUCACAUCUUGCACCUGCAGUGGACUUAUCUGUUGGUUUGCCAUUAUGCUGGUGAUGUAAGUUUCUAUUCUUGUGUUAUUAUAUGUAUUUAUUUAAUAGUUCAUUCAGCUUCAGAAUAUACACUUUUGAAACAAAAAACAUUAACCAACACUUCAAUUUAUUUUUCAGGUCACCUAUCAAACUAAAUUUUUUUCUGGAGAAAAACAAAGAUUAUGUCAUUGCUGAACAUCAAGCACUCUUGAGUGCUUCCAAAUGUUCCUUUGUGUCGGGUUUCUUUCCCCUUGCAUCCGAGGAGUCCUCUAAACAAUCAAAGUUCUCUUCAAUAGCUUCACAGUUCAAGGUCUGAUGUUCUCUCUCUCUCUCUCUCUCUCUCUCUCUUAAAUUAUCUACUUCUUUUGUACAAUAGCUUGACUUAAGAAAUUCCUGUUGUACUUUUUACAGCAACAAUUGCAACAAUUGCUUGAAACUUUGAGUUCAACUGAGCCUCCUUAUAUUUGCUGUGUGAAGCCCAAUAAUCUUCUUAAGCCAGCUAUUUUUGAGAAUAGUAAUGUUCUACAACAACUGCGUUGUGGGGAAAGACUGGAGGAUAUUGAAAGGGACCAACGUGAAUAUACAUUGGACGAUGAGGAUAGGAAGGUUCAAGAUGUAAUUCUUAAACCGGACCUCUCAAAAAAUGACACUAUGUGGUUGAAGAAAACUCUUUCUUGUUCCUACCCAAACUUGCCUUUUAAUGAGGCACACCAAAAAGAAAAUGAAAAGCUUUAGUUAGAACUACAACGUUCACAAGCCUAUUUCGAUGUGGGUGAGUGUGAAGUAAUUUAACAUCUGCUUGAUGUCACAGAGGCUGUUGUUGUAAAUUCUGUAUUUGAGAAGAGUUCACCCAUGAGAAAUUCCAAAAAGGUGGAGUAGAAUUAUUCAGAUGUUAAUAGUGAAAAGGAGCAUUCAUAUGAUGAAAGCUAUACUAAGCAAAGUGAGACUCACUCAACUUCAAGAAACACUUCCUCAGUAUCAUCCGGAUGUGAUCUGAUCUGCUGUCUACCAGAGGUUCAAAUUGGGAUGAUGAAUGGCAUUCAGAUUUGCUCGGCUGUUGUUCGGAACCUAUUUUGUGUAUGUUAUAUGAUUAUAUCACAGCACUUGUUAUUCAAUUGCAUGAUGCCAGAACAACAACCUAUUUUGUCUAUAUUCUAAAUGAACACGUGUUGAUUGGCUUAUCAGAUAUAAAUUUAAAGUUAGUUUCAUUUUCUAUGUUCUACCUUUCUAGAGCAAAGAGGUAGUCUUGUGGAGUAACUUCUAUUUUCCUUUCUUUUUCCUCUACAUAGACUGAUAAUUAGGACAUAGGAUGUAAAGGAGAUUUCUACUUAUUUGUGUUUUCUUUUCCUUUUUGAGUCAAUUCUUUAUUGGUUUGGUACCCUUUGCAAAUUACAAAUUAUAAGAUGCAAAGAUUCUUUAUUGGUCAGAUUCAAUAUGUGUAGAGGUAGUUAUUGUGUUAGAUGUGUCUUUUCAGUUGUACUUUUUUAAUUAGCUCAUUGCUGAGGUCUGAGGUCUUGAAAGUAUAUGACUCAUUGAUUUUUUCCUUGUGCUGAUUACAGGACAACUUGCUCAGGAAGUUUACGUGAACAUUAGGAGAGAAGCUUCUUGUCUGAGAAUUCAGAGAGAUUUUCGUAUGCAUCUUGCUAGGAAAGCUUAUAAAGAAUUGUGCUCCUCUGUUGUUUCUAUUCAGACAGGCAUGCGUGGAAUGGUUGCAUGUGAUGAGCUUCGCUUCAGAAGGCAAAUUGUUUUUAUGGAAAGCUUUCAUUGAUGUAUACUCUUAGACUACUUGACUACAUGAAUUGUGCAUUUGGAUGUAUUAGUAGUAACUCCAACAAUUUCUUUUACACUAGCAUCUAUUCAACUGAGUUCUUUAAAAUUACCAUAUUAUAACCUUUUCUAAUAAUGUUUUUCUUUUGC